rnacentral:rRNA from 1 species
AGAGAGAGACAUGCGCGCAUAUCAAUAAGCGGAGGAAAAGAAACUAACUAGGAUUCCCUCAGUAACGGCGAGUGAAGCGGGAAGAGCUCAAAUUUGAAAUCUUAAAGGGUUCUACCUUGACGAAUUGUAGUUUAAAGAAGUGUUUUCUGUUGGAGGUUUUGGUAAAAGUUCUUUGGAAUAGGACAUCAUAGAGGGUGAGAAUCCCGUAUUUGACCAUUUACUUUCAAGCUUUGUGAUACACUUUCAAAGAGUCGGAUUGUUUGGGAAUGCAGUCCAAAAUGGGUGGUAAAUUUCAUCUAAAGCUAAAUAUUGGCGAGAGACCGAUAGCGAACAAGUACCGUGAGGGAAAGAUGAAAAGAACUUUGAAAAGAGAGUUAUACAGUACGUGAAAUUGUCAAAAGGGAAGCGUUUGACACCAGUGUUGUUUUCUCGAAAAUCAAUUAAAAAAGGCAGGAUUUUGUGUUGUAUUGACUUUAUCAGCUUUCUGCACUCUUUUCUUGUCUUUUUUAAUGCACUUUUCGUUUAACAAGUCAACAUCAAUUUCUUUUGUUGUAAAAGGGUCAUUGGAAGGUGGCUUUCUUUUCGGAGAAAGUGUUUAUAGCCUUUGGCCUCUGCAAUCGGAGAGAUUGAGGUCUGCAGCGUAGAUCCUUCGGGGUUAGAUACAUUUGUGCUAAGUUAUAGCCUUUCAUAGACAACUUGUUGACUAUGAUCAGUCAUGUAGCUUACUCGCUUAUGCUAUUUUACCUACGCUUAGGAUGUUGAUGUGAUACUGCGAGCA